rnacentral:RNase_P_RNA from 1 species
CCAGAGGGCCGGGCGGCCGCGGGUGCGCAAGCACGCGAGGAAAGUCCGGGCUCCAUGGAACGACGGUGCCGGGUAAUGCCCGGCGGGGGCGACCCCAGGGAAAGUGCCACAGAGAGCAGACCGCCAACCGGCCUUCGGGCGAGGGGCAAGGGUGAAAGGGUGCGGCAAGAGCGCACCGCGCGACCGGCAACGGAAGCGGCACGGCAAACCCCACCGGGAGCAAGACCGAAUAGGGGCGCCACAUGGGCCAUGUUCCGGCCCCGGCGCCCGGGUUGGUUGCUUGAGCGGCGGAGCGAUCCGUCGCCUAGAGGAAUGGUCGCCCAUCGCCGAAAGGCGAGGACAGAACCCGGCUUACAGGCCCUCUGGCAGU